AGUCUAAUCUGCUCAAUGAAUAAUUUUAAAUAGCUGCAAUAUUUUAAUUGUACAAAGGUAGCAUAAUCAUUUGUCUUUUAAUUUAAGAAUAGAAUGAAAGAUUAAAUAAAAUAUUAACUAUAUUAAUUCAAUAAAAAUUUAAAUUUUAUUUUUAAGUAAAAAAUCUUAAAUUUAUUUAUUAGACGAUAAGACCCUAUAGAACUUUAUACUUAUUUUUAAUAUUAAUUUUUAUUAUUAUUAUUUUAAAAUAAAUAUUAUAUUGGGGGUAUAAAAAAAUUUAAUAAAUUUUUUUAUUAAAAUCUACAUCAUAAAUGAAAACUAAAAGAGUGU
rnacentral:rRNA from 1 species